rnacentral:lncRNA from 1 species
GACGCGCAUGCGCGGCGGGGCCGCGCUGGCCGGCCUCGGGGCCGGGUCUCUGGCGAUUCAGGCCUUUUGCUAAGAGUCGUGACGUGCACGUGACCCCAUUGGACCAGCCUUUCCUGCAUGAAUUCUUGACAACUUUCAAGAUCCAGAUGGGAAGAGGGCAGUGCUAUAGGAGGGGAGACCACUGGUGACAUGCCAGGUCCCACAGGGCAAUGCUGGUGGACCGAGAUGGAUGCCUGCAAUCACCUGGGUUGCAUCACAGGAGAGGAACACUGAGCUUGGCAGAGCCACUGCUUUUAGAGUAAACAGUGCGAAACCUGUUCUUUGUCUAUAAGAACUUACUUCUUCCAUCAAGGCUGGUCCCUUGAAACACAAUCAUGAGAAAUGGCCCAAGUAAAGAGUGGUCAGAGUGUUGUUUUCUUGGCACACCCUGCAAGAAAAUGCAGGGAAGCUUAGUGUCUGUGACACAUUGUUUUGCCCAGUACUUUUCUCUUAAAUGGUUGGCACAGUUUUCUUAGGAAAAUUCCAGCUGAUCCUGUUACAUUUUUGUGAAGUCAUUCUUUGAUAACUUUACUUCUUCUAUGCAAAUUGACCUUAUUAAGCUUUCCUUGCAUCCUGGACAUAAUUUCCAUAAGCUGUAUUUUCCUAAGAAAUUUUCCAUUUCACCUAGGUUUUUAAGUUUAUUUACAGUGAGAUGUAAAAAAAUAGUUAGCCAUGAUGUUUUACCUUCUUUCUCUAUUGAGAAUUUCUUCCCCAGGUAAUUGCUUACUUUGUCUAUUGAUAUUCUCAUGUCAAAUGAUUUGCGUAUUUUGUUUAUUUUUCCCCAAACGAUCCAGAUUUUUGUUUGUUAAUCUACUUUUUCCCCCGUGUCUUUAUCAUUUCAUUAAUUUCUGCUUUAUCAUUAUUGCUUCUUCUCUCAAUCUUUCUUUGGUUACUUUGUUUUGUCCUCCCUAAUUUUUUGAGCUAAGAGUUUAUUUCAUUUAUUUUCAUUCUUUCAUAUUAUUGUUAUAGAUGUUUAAGGUGAUACAUUUUGCCCUCAUUGCUUUUUAAAUCAUACCCCAUAGAUUCUGAUACGUUGUAAUUUUAUCCUCAUUAUUUUUCAAAAAAAAAUCUAUAAUUUCUAUUUUUAUUUCCCUCUUUACUCAAAGGUCUUUUUUUUUUUUUUUUUUUUAUCCUUUUAGGGCUGCACCUGCGGCAUAUGGAGGUUUCCAGGCUAGGGGUUGAAUUGGAGCCUACGCCAGAGCCACAGCAACGCCAGAUCUGAGCCUCGUCUGCGCCCUACACCACAGCUCACGGCAAUGCUGGAUCCUUAACCCACUGAGCGAGGCCAGGGAUUGAACCCGCAACCUCAUGGUUCCUAGUCAGAUCCGCUUCUGCUGCAUCGCAAUAGGAACUCCCUCUUAAGUCUUUAUAGUAGGUUUUAAAAUUUCCAGGUUAGGUCCUUCCUAUUUUGAAUUUGUUUCUCAUUUUUAAUUUUAAGAUUAGAGUGUUGUUAGUGAUAUUUUUAUUUUAUGAAUUUUCAGAUGUUUCUGUGAUCUGAGACAUAGUCACUAUUUAUGAAUCUUUUCCGUGUCAUUGAGAAGAAGGGAUAUUUGCAUCAUCAGGGAAAGAAGACAUGUUCUUUGUGUAUCAAUAGAAUCUGCCUCAUUAUGUUGUUUAAAUUUCUUAAUUUGUGUUCACUUGACCUGUCAUGUCUUGGGAGUGAUGCAUUAAAGUCUUCUAUGAUUUGUG